rnacentral:ribozyme from 14 species
UGAAGCCGCCAAAUCUACAUACAAAUACUGGUAAAUGUUAUUAUAAAGGAAAAAUAGGGUAAAUACGCUGUCAAUUAGCAUGUAUUUUUUGUUAAUAACUUUUUUCUCGAGUGAACUCAAUCUGCGUCAUC